rfam:Triticum aestivum genome assembly, contig: Triticum_aestivum_CS42_TGACv1_scaffold_031671_1BL
AUGCUACUACCUCCGUCCGGAAAUACUUGUCAUCAAAAUGAAUAAAAGGGGAUGUAUCUAGGUGUAUAUUAGUUCUAGAUACAUCCCUUUUUAUCCAUUUUGAUGACAAGUAUUUUCGGACGGAGGGAGUACUAU